UACGUAGGGGGCAAGCGUUGUUCGGAAUUACUGGGCGUAAAGCGCACGUAGGCGGCUUUGUAAGUUAGAGGUGAAAGCCCAGGGCUCAACCCUGGAACUGCCUUUAAGACUGCAUCGCUUGAACAUCGGAGAGGUAAGUGGAAUUCCGAGUGUAGAGGUGAAAUUCGUAGAUAUUCGGAAGAACACCAGUGGCGAAGGCGACUUACUGGACGAUUGUUGACGCUGAGGUGCGAAAGCGUGGGGAGCAAACAGG
rnacentral:rRNA from 1 species